GCCCGCCCGGAGGCUUAAACCGCAACCCCGCGGCUCGGGAGGGCGUUGAUGCCCGCGCCAACACCAGGCCGUGCGUGGGCUCCGGAGCGCGGCAUGGAGGGGCCGGCCUAGCUGGAGCCCGUGGCCCUAUGUCUUCUGGCUGCGACUCCGGUCCUGCGCACGCUGCGGGGCCGCAGCCGCCGGGCGAUUCUGGCAGAAAUAAAGUUUACAGAAGUCGUGUUCCUGCGAUAAGAAAUAAAGAUGUGACCUCCAGCUGUGUAAAGCUCUUAAAUGCUGUGUAAGUGCGUCGGGUGCGCUAAGGAACCUGGAGCUAAGUGGGCUAGUUGUGAGAGAGAGAGACUUAACUGUGUUAACAAUGGGAUUGAAUAAAUUGGCCACUUUGGUGCACCUGUGUCCUGCGAAUUGUCCAAUUAGAGAUGGAGGUUUAGAAAUAUCAGACUAUCAGAAGGCAUGAAGAAACCUGGGCUGAGAGUCUUCGUUCCAGGAGACCUGAUCUUGACUGUAUGGCUGGUUUGAGGCGCAUCACUCUGAACUGCAACACGCUCAUUGGUGACCUGGGUGCAAGUGCUUUGGCAGAAUCUCUUAGUGAGGAUUUAUGGCUUAGAGGACUCUUCCACACGUGAGAAAAUGGGAGCUGUCUAUAUGUUAAAUCUGUAUAGACUUUGCAAAUGACCUUUUGUCUUUCAUCGAAAGCACUGGACCUGCAGCAGUGUGGCCUCACCAGUGAGGGAGCAAAGGCUUUACUAAAGGCCCUUGAAACCAACAGAACUCUGCUCGUUCUGGAUAUAAGAAAAAAUCCACUUAUUGUACCAGUGGAUAACUUCUCCAUCGGUGAAGGAACCAUACAAAGCUGCUAGACAGAAAAGGAGAACUAUAAUUUUGGAAAGUGGUCGAAAAGGAAAAGCUACUAUUAGAAUUGAUGUCCAGUGGAGCCCCAGAAUAAAAGCAAGAUGAAUAUUCAUUUCCACAUUGGCAACACCAAAGAAGAUGAUGCUUUAGAAAAAAGAUUUCUCGACAAAGCUCUUGAACUCAAUAUGAUCUCCCUGCAAAGACAUAGGCCUCUCACUGUUGUGGCCUCUCCCGUAGCGGAGCACAGGCUCCGGACGCUCAGUCUCAGCAGCCAUGGCUCACGGGCCCAGCAGCUCCGCGGCAUGUGUGAUCUUCCCGGACCGGGGCACAAACUUACGUCCCCUGCAUCGGCAGGCUGACUCUCAACAACUGCACCACCAGGGAAGCCCCCCAUUCAUUGUUUUUAAUUGCAAACAGAUAAUAAGCAAAGUGAAAGGAACUUCUUCCAACAAAGUAAAGGCCAAAGUUCAAAAAGUCAAAUUAAUAUGGGGUUUGUUACUAUUCUAAAUAGUAAAGAACAAUGGCAAGAAAUGUCACAGUGUUGGUUGCUAUUAACAUCUUUUCGUUUUCCAUUACAGUUGUUUAUAUUAUCUUCAUGGGAUAUCACUGAAGUUAUCAAGUUAUCUUAAUAGUCAAAUUAAAAAACAAAAUCCCUUGAAAUGCCAAUACAAAGAAAAAUGAGUCAGAACAUGAAAAAAUGUUUUAGACAAGUUGACAGCAUGUAUUCUUUGUUCAUAUCUCUUUUUGAGAGAAGUUCCAUCUUAUUCACACCCACAUGUACAAUAGACUGAAUAAAAUAGAACCCCAUCACUCAAUGGUGAUAAAAAAAGGAAAGUCAAGCUGGUUCCAGAAAAUUCCUCUAUUUAUUCCUAGUAUCUGGUUGCAUCUGGCAAAAAAGAGCAUUUUGAAAUAUUCUCUAAAUUUUUGUAUUUUAUUUUAUAAUAAUUUGCUUAUUUAUCUCAAUGUAAAUAUUAAAAACGCAUGAGAAAUAUUUUAACGUUUGGCAUUUGA